ACUAACUCUCCAUUCCCCCUAAAAAUGUCGGGGACCCCCCCAAACCCUAGAGAAGACAUCCAUUUCCCCCCGUUCACCUCUCUCUAAACCUCCGCCACUGGCCGCCCCGGAAAUCGCCCACGGCGGCGGCAAUGCUCCAAACCACCCCAAAUCUUACCUCCCUCAUCACUAAUCUCCCACUAGUUUCCCAAGAUACCCACCAAAUUUGCCGAAUUUUAGAUCUAAAAAGGGGCAGAAACCCCAGUUUCCUCCUCUUUCUGAUUUUCUGAGUUUCAAUACCCGUUUUGACUCGAAACUUAUGCUAAUCGAUUUUUUUUGGCAAGAACAAUCGAUUAGUGUUACUUUCAGAGCAUUUCGGAGAUGUUCGGACUCUAUGAUUGGCCAAGUAUUUGUCAAAAGUUUUUCUUGUUGUAUUUAGUGCCAUAUUUUGCAUAUUUGACUAUAGUUGGCCAAAUCUGUAAACAUUGAGGCCAAAAUAGCAUCCAAUAGCAUCGUUAAAGAGUCAGGCGUAAUCUGAAAGUCAAUGAUCUCGUAGAGGAGCUGUAUUUAUUAGGCUGCAGUUAGGAACUACUUUUAUUUAAAUGUAUUAUGAAAUGAUAAUUGUGAGACUCAUAGUUACACAAGCCUAUUUAUGUAGCUUAUUUGGAGUUUGAGUGUAAAUAAUGAUACAUUGUAAUGUCAGUUAUACCUUUCUUCUUUCACUUGAUAUACAGAUUAUGGGGUUUAACAUGA